rnacentral:rRNA from 3 species
AAAAUUUAAAAUUAAAAUACUAAAAUAGUAAAUAAUUAUUUAUUAAAACUUAAAUAAUUUGGCGGUAUUUUAGUUCAUUUAGAGGAAUCUGUUUAAUAAUUGAUAUUCCACGAGUAAAUUUACUUAAUUUAUAAUUUUGUAUAUCGUUGUUAUAAAAAUAUUUUUUAAUAAUAUUAAUAUUUAAAAAUUAAUAUUAUAAAUUUAAAUCAGAUCAAGAUGCAGAUUAUAAUUAAGAAUAUAAUGGAUUACAAUAAAUUUAUUUAAAUGGAUUUUAAUUUGUAAAAAUUAAUUGAUAGUGGAUUUAAAUGUAAUUUUAUUUAGUUUAAUAAAAUGAUUAAAAAUUAAAAUAUGU